rnacentral:rRNA from 1 species
AGAGUUUGAUCAUGGCUCAGAUUGAACGCUGGCGGCAGGCCUAACACAUGCAAGUCGAGCGGUAGAGAGAAGCUUGCUUCUCUUGAGAGCGGCGGACGGGUGAGUAAUGCCUAGGAAUCUGCCUGGUAGUGGGGGAUAACGUUCGGAAACGGACGCUAAUACCGCAUACGUCCUACGGGAGAAAGCAGGGGACCUUCGGGCCUUGCGCUAUCAGAUGAGCCUAGGUCGGAUUAGCUAGUUGGUGGGGUAAUGGCUCACCAAGGCGACGAUCCGUAACUGGUCUGAGAGGAUGAUCAGUCACACUGGAACUGAGACACGGUCCAGACUCCUACGGGAGGCAGCAGUGGGGAAUAUUGGACAAUGGGCGAAAGCCUGAUCCAGCCAUGCCGCGUGUGUGAAGAAGGUCUUCGGAUUGUAAAGCACUUUAAGUUGGGAGGAAGGGCAGUAAAUUAAUACUUUGCUGUUUUGACGUUACCGACAGAAUAAGCACCGGCUAACUCUGUGCCAGCAGCCGCGGUAAU